UUAUAGCAAUAUAAUAUUAAUGCAUACCCAAAAGAUUUAGACUAUAGAAACCUGCCAUUUAUUGAUAAAUGUUAUGGGACUAUAAUGAAUCAUUGUCUGAUUCCAGGAGAAUGGAAUAAAAGAGCCAUUAUACAAUGCCUAGAAGCACAGGGUCAAGGAGACCAAGCAAUGCCAAUGGGAUUGAUGAGAAUCUGCAUAGUGCCUAGGAGCACAAGGUCAAAAAGGACCAAACCAAUCCAGGACUCCUUGUACCACAUUGCUUGUGAAAUACUCUCAGAUGAGUACCGAAGUUUGGCUACCUUCCUGACUCCCGCAUCCCUGAGAGUGAAGACUCAUACAUUCCAUAAUUCAACCAUGUAUCCUGAGCUGAUCUGGGAGUUGGUCAACACCCUUUUCAUGGGAGAUUGUAUUUUCAUAAAAAUCCAAUUUAAAAUUUUGUUUGAGAAAAAAAUUUCAGGAAAAGAAGCUUGCUAAUUCCUUACACCCAGAGAAUGAACUGUUUGCAGAAAGAUGCCUAAAAAAACCUACACUGCAUCAAGAAGAUCCAGAAUUAACUUUGGGGUAUGGUUGAUUAAACUGAAGGGGGUUAAACAUUUGUUUUGAUUUACUUUCUCAUUCUUCUAUAUCCCUCUUAUCCUUAACUAAUGUAGUGUCCUCUUUUGAAGUUGCAAUUUUGUAUGCACCUGUAGUUAGAAGAUUUUUAGAAGUAAAAAACGAUUAUGUUAAAUGAUCAAUUGGAGAGACUAGUCUCUCCAAAGAUGGGGGGGGGGGGGGACUGUGAAGAUGGGAUUAACUCUCCCCUAUUUAUUCUUUAGAUUUUAGCCACCAGAAAUGUAUACAUUCCCCCACUUAAUCCUUAAGUGUGUGUGUGUAUUUAAGAUCUAUGACCCAUGUGUGCUAGGGAGUGAUAAAUAAAAAACAACUGACUGUCCCUUGGGCAGUCUGAAGCAAAGUUAAAGCCACCAUUGGUUCACGUAAAAAGUGGAAGGAAGUCACAGGAAGUAAUGCAAAGAAUCGUCUUUAAAUAAUGCUGGUAACUUACUGUGAGUUCUGCUUUGAACUUGGCCUUGGAUGAGCUCAGACUUGAGACCUCAGACUGCUUCCCUUUGGAAUGACUCAUUGAUGAGUGAAAAAGGUUGAAUCCUUUCCUUGGCAUUUCGGGAGGCACUAGCCUCAGGAGAGGCCCCUUGUCUUGGAGGAGGUCUCCUGGUUAGAAGCCUUGUUUAAUUAACCUCUGUGCCUCCCUUUGCUGGGGCCUCUGAAGCCCUGCCUGGUUCAGACCAGGCUAUGGUAGUUCUCUCGUUCUCUCUCUUCACUCUCUCUCUCUUCUCUCUCUCACUCUCUCUCUCUCUGUCUCUGUCUCUCUCUCUCUCUCUCUCUCUCUCAUUUUCUUUACUUUCAGUCUCUCUAUUUGUAAAUAAACUACCAUAAAAGUCAUUCUGACUUGAGUAAUUCAUUUAGAAUUAAGUAAUUAAUUCCUGUCAACCCUACUCUUAAAUAUUCAGUCCAACAAUAAUUUUACCCCUUACAGUCCUCUAAUUAACAUUCCUCAGUUUUCUCGGCAUAACAAUCAAAUUAAAAAGGAAAUAAACUUUUUGCAUUUAUAGACAUAUGUUUGUGUGUAUGUGCAUAUAUACUUUAUUUUUAGUGAAUUCACAUUGGCUUCUGAUGACCAAGACUUUCCAUUAUUAAGUAGAUGUAAGCCAUCUGUAUGGUUAGUAGCCAGUUUUGUUUUAGAUUCAAGUCAAACAUACAUAGUGUGUAGUCUAUAUUUUCGGUAUAAAAUUGAUUCAUAAAAGGAAAGCAUUUGAAAGAGAUAAAACAAAACAACUUUGUAUCUAUGUUUCCAAUUAUCUUUGGUUAUCUUUGGUUUCCGAUGCAUAUAUAGAUAUAUUAGAAUAUUUGUGGAUAUGUAUACAUAUAUAGAACCCCAAACAUAGAUACAAGUUUGUAUGUAAUACAACAGAUACAAAAUACAUAUGUAUCUAAACACACACACAUAAAUAUAUCCAGAUAUUAUGUAACUUUGUAUAUAUUAAGAUGUUAGAGAUAUGUGUAUAUAUGCUUAUAUAUACAUAUGCAUAUGUAUGAAUUCAUAUAUAUAAUCCAAAAGCCAAAUUUCUCAAAAAAAUAAUGGUCAAAGAAAGAAUAGUUCUCAAAAACUAAAAAGAACCAUAAGAAAACUCCUCUAAAUUGUUAAUAUAAGAGAUAUUCAAAUAAAAACAACCCUGAAGUCUUACUUUACACCCUGCCAUUUGUCAAAGAUGGAAAGAUAUGGCAAUAUUUAAAGUGGAAAGGAUUGUGGGACCAUAGGCACUCUGGUACAUUGUUGAUGGAACUGUGAAUUAGUGAAUCAAUACUGCCAUUUGGGAAAAUACAUGAUUAAAAUCCUCAUGUUCUUUGACACUGAGAUUCUACUAACAAGGAUUCUCUUUGCUCUGCUAAUGGUAUCCUACCAAAAGAUUUCUCCUCUUGAAUUACAAUGUCUUAAUCUUUCAUUAAGGAAUAAUAAUCAUCUACUUAUUAGGAGACAUCUCUUCAGCUUAAUUCUUUCAGUCUAGUCAAACAGGAAUGACUUCCUGUUUUGUAUCAAGUAACAUACAUGAAAACAUAUUUUGAAUGAUUUUUUUGUGUGUGGGUGUAUGUGGUAAAGAACUUUGGGCUCAUCAAAAAUAUUCACUAUCUGUAAGGAACAAUCAUGUCCAUUUGGCUUUCUAACUGCUUCCAGGCUGAUCAUGUACCACUACCUGAUAGCCUACAUGUUGCAAUAUCACUGCCCUCCCCUAUGUUCUGUUCACACAUUUCUAUGUAAAUCAUCUCCCAAAGGGUCCCUUGCCAUAAUUGCUUCCUGUUUGCCCUAUAUAUGAUCCUAAGUAAGUAUCCUUUUCCCAUUGAUGUUUUACAUAUUUAUGAGAGAAUGAACUGAAAAUUUCAAGGGGAAAUUUUAUUUUCAUUGUUAUUUAAAAUACUUUGAUGGGAAACUGAACUAAAUUCUAUAAAGACUGAUAAAUGUAAAACUAAUACAUUAGAACUCUUGAGCCAUGAUUUAGAUAGGAGUAUGACAAAAAAGCUAUAGAGAACUUAAUGUAGUAGCAGAAGUUAAUGGGAGAAGGUAAAAAGGAGAUCUUAUAGGCAAUAUAUAAAUAUGUAUAUAUAUUAUCAUAGGAAAUCUUUAAGAUGUACAAAUUUCCAUAUACAUUUAUUUCAUUGUUUAUAUGUGUAAAUUAAAAAUUAAUAUCCAAAAUAAUCCAAGUAUUAUAUUCAUAAAAUUUGUUAAUAAUAACUUGAAGUAAAAAGCCUGAGUAAAACCAGCCUUCUUGGCUGCGCACGCGGGAAAAGAAGAGACUGAGAGGGAGGAGCCACAAAAUUAUAUACACACAUGAAAGCAGUGUAAACAUGAGGAUAAAGGGAAAGGGAUGCUGGGAGAUGAA